ACACAUGCAAGUCGAACGGGAUGCGUAUUGGAAAGCUUCGGCCGGAAGAUACGUUAUCUAGUGGCGGACGGGUGAGUAACACGUGGGUAACCUGCCUUAUGGAGGGGGAUAACAGAGAGAAAUCACUGUUAAUACCGCAUAAGACCACAGCACCGCAUGGUGCGGGGGUAAAAACUCCGGUGGUAUGAGAUGGACCCGCGUUCGAUUAGCCAGUUGGCGGGGUAACGGCCCACCAAAGCGACGAUCGAUAGCCGAUCUGAGAGGAUGACCGGCCACAUUGGGACUGAGACACGGGCCAAACUCCUACGGGAGGCAGCAGUGGGGAAUAUUGCACAAUGGGGGAAACCCUGAUGCAGCGACGCCGCGUGAGUGAGGAAGUAUUUCGGUAUGUAAAGCUCUAUCAGCAGGGAAGAAAAUGACGGUACCUGAGUAAGAAGCCCCGGCUAACUACGUGCCAGCAGCCGCGGUAAUACGUAGGGGGCAAGCGUUAUCCGGAUUUACUGGGUGUAAAGGGAGCGCAGACGGCUCUGCAAGUCUGAAGUGAAAGCCCGCGGCUUAACCGCGGGACUGCUUUGGAAACUGCAGGGCUUGAGUAUCGGAGGGGCAGGCGGAAUUCCUAGUGUAGCGGUGAAAUGCGUAGAUAUUAGGAAGAACACCGGUGGCGAAGGCGGCCUGCUGGACGAAAACUGACGUUGAGGCUCGAAGGCGUGGGGAGCAAACAGGAUUAGAUACCCUGGUAGUCCACGCGGUAAACGAUGAAUACUAGGUGUUGGUGCCCGAAGGGCAUCGGUGCCGUCGCAAACGCAAUAAGUAUUCC
rnacentral:rRNA from 1 species